CUGACCUGUAGAUAUCCCGCCUACCGACCAAUAAUAAACGGUCUAUGUUACUACUGUCCAAUCAGCUUUCCACUCGUCCCAUCUCUGUCCAAUCAGCUGCAGCUUCCCUUCCCGCGCUGUUGAAGUUUGCGUGUGAGAGAAGAGUGACGCAGGGACAGGAGCGUCAGUAAGAACUAGUCAUUAUGGUGAGAGACUGAAGAACUAUGUGUUUGUUAUCAGUAUGGCUGCGUGAGAAAGAAGAAUUAUAGGGUUAUUGAUUUUUCUCUUGGGGAAAACUGUUAAUUGUACGCUUCGUUUAAUCCACAUCGAAUGCUCCAUUGAUACGCUGUACUUUUCCCACCUAUUCAGUUUGUUGGCUCGGUGGACCAAAGUUGCGCCGUUCCGCGUCCGUAGACACGAGUGAACUCUGAGCUGGUGUGGCACUUUGGGACAAAUGACACUAGCUUAUUGAUUCAUUCGCCUGCUGGGGUAAAACUGUCUGUUACUCACCACAUUUAAUUCACAUGCACUUCAGUAUUUGCAUUCGGAUCUUUUAAGACACACGAGGUAGGAUACCACACUGUCAUUUACAAUGUGACAAAGCUUUCGCAACACCACAGCAACGCUAGAUGGAAAGGGUAACUUUCUCAGGGGUGUUUGCUGAUUUAUGUUUUUGUUACAUUACAGCUGCAGGAAACGCAGCAAAUAGAACUUAAAGGGAAAGUUCAACUUUGGAUGCAAGUACCUAUAAUGAAUGGUGUCAAGUC